UAGGGAAUCUUCCACAAUGGACGCAAGUCUGAUGGAGCAACGCCGCGUGAGUGAAGAAGGUUUUCGGAUCGUAAAGCUCUGUUGUUGGUGAAGAAGGAUAGAGGUAGUAACUGGCCUUUAUUUGACGGUAAUCAACCAGAAAGUCACGGCUAACUACGUGCCAGCAGCCGCGGUAAUACGUAGGUGGCAAGCGUUGUCCGGAUUUAUUGGGCGUAAAGCGAGCGCAGGCGGAAGAAUAAGUCUGAUGUGAAAGCCCUCGGCUUAACCGAGGAACUGCAUCGGAAACUGUUUUUCUUGAGUGCAGAAGAGGAGAGCGGAAUUCCAUGUGUAGCGGUGGAAUGCGUAGAUAUAUGGAAGAACACCAGUGGCGAAGGCGACUCUCUGGUCUGCAACUGACGCUGAGGCUCGAAAGCAUGGGUAGCGAACAGG
rnacentral:rRNA from 1 species